UGACUAAAGCUAAUCACGAUUGUCGAGCUCUUUCUUCAACCAUGGUGAUCUUCAGAUUUCUAGGGUUCAUUUCAUCCUCUUUUUCUUUCUGUAUUUAGGUGGACUGACCAUGGAGUUUCCGGAUUUCGUGAGGAAUCUCUUUAGUGAGCUUUGUUCGUGUCGUUGUGUCUCAGAUUCUUCUCCUUACGACCAUUAAGAGAUUCAUUGAUUUAACGUCAUUGACGACCUUCUUUAUUCCUUAGCCCCACUCCAACCAUGAUCACUCAUUAAAUGCAUUUACCUCUCUUCAAGGCGGUGGAGCUUCAGUUAUAAAAAGAUAAGCCUUGAACAUCAUCGAUUCUAAUAGCUUCAAUUAUCACAAAUCCUAAUAGCACUUGAAUUUUUUUUUCCAGUAGAAUGGCAAACUCAUCGAUUCUCCUCGCUGAGGCUGGCUUGCCGUUGUUCUUUAAAGCACUUGCCUACUGAGAUCGAGAUUUAUUACUACUUCAUUGUCUUUCCUUUCCGGACUGAUCAGAAGUAGUAAGAGGCCGCUAGCAAUUGGUCGCCUCAACAGCUUAAACAAGAGAACCCUUGAUGUGAUCGCUUCAAGUUUGUAUUUUUACUAUUCUUUGAGUUAUGAGAAGCAUGGUUAUCUUGAUGAGAUUCGUGGUACUCAAUCCGUCCUUGCGCCAUUCUGCAACAACGUCAUGAUGCGUUCGGUCAGAUACGUCUUGAAAUUCUUGACUCAGCUUUUGUUUUGGUUAUUCAAUGUGUCAUUUUAUGAGUGCAGGAAAUACUUCUGAAUCUCUUGCUUUGCAACUAUCUGCACUACAUCCUUUAUGAUCAAGUAGAGAAGUUGAGAUAAAAAGUAAAAAGAUUUGAGGCACAUUCUAACUAACAUGUUUAUCUUUUAGUAGUUAUUAUUUCAUACCAAUUGGUUAUUGGUUAGGUGUAGCUUUCUAGAUUAUAAUUAUAUCGUUUCUCUGAUCUCUUAUGCUAAACUUUCAAAUAUGGUGUUUAUAUGUAAGAUCAUUGGGUAUGAUCUUUUUCUCUUAUCAUGGGCUAGCUCUUUUUGUUUCAUGGGACAUCUUCAACUAUUGUAUAUAAUAUGAUUUUCACAUACGCAUUCUGGUUACGCCAUAUAUAUGCGUAUUUUUAUAUUUAGAAUGCAAAAAGGUUGAUUGAGUAUUGAUAAAACAGGUCCGAUGUGAGAAAAAUAGAUGUAUAUGGCAGAUGAAGAAAAACUAAAAACGAGAAAAGAUGAGAAAGUCACGAAUGUGUUGAAUUUAUAGCUGCUGUCUUUUCGGAUUUCACCAGAAGAAUAGUGUAAGCAUCAGUGAGGAAUUUUAUUCUCUGGCAAAGAAGCUUAAAAGGAAAGUCCAGUCUCCGACAAGAGGUCGUGUUUUAAAUUUACAGCCAUGUCUUGAUUAAUAUGUUUUAGAUGUAAAUUUUCCUGUGGUAGUUUAUCUUAAAAGUUUGUCAUUUAGUUUGGUUUUUGUCUUAUUUUUAUCUGUACAUGUUUUCCCACAGAUUGGUGUGGUGGACAAUAGCACUUUGUUCUUUUGGUCAAUUUUCAGUAAAUUUACUUUUUCUCA